rnacentral:rRNA from 1 species
UACGUAGGUGGCAAGCGUUGUCCGGAAUUAUUGGGCGUAAAGCGCGCGCAGGCGGUCCUUUAAGUCUGAUGUGAAAGCCCACGGCUCAACCGUGGAGGGUCAUUGGAAACUGGGGGACUUGAGUACAGAAGAGAAGAGUGGAAUUCCACGUGUAGCGGUGAAAUGUGUAGAGAUGUGGAGGAACACCAGUGGCGAAGGCGACUCUUUGGUCUGUAACUGACGCUGAGGCGCGAAAACGUGGGGAGCAAACAGG